GCAAGGCUCACAACUUUGGUUGCUAUGGUUCAUGUAACCAUUUCCAGCAAUGAAAAACCCCCAGGAAUCGAGCCAUGGUCAAGAGUGGAAGUGUUCCGAGAAGAUUAAGAAAGAAUUACUGAAUGAUUUGAGGUUCGACGACUUCUAUUUCUGAACUUUCUGAAGUUGCAACUCACCGAUGCUGCAUGUGACCCAGAUCCCCUUCCUGACUCUCCCUCUCCUGGUCAAUAAAGCUCAGAUGGCGCCAGUCAUGGUGUUAGCGGGCUGAAAUUCUUCCUUCCAAUGAGAGAUGCAAUAAUGUGACCACAAGUGAUCUAUUAGCAUUUCCCCCCGUCGAAAUAUUUGGCGGUGAUUUCGUGCGUGCCGUAUUAUGUGAAGAUUCCUCGACCUGCAACUGUAGGAGGGCAAGAGUGAACUGCAAGCGAUAGAAGCAUUUUUGUGGGUUAUAACUUUGAAUUUACUGGUCGCCGUAGUGGCAUCACUAUUUUCCACUGAAAUUGAUCAGUUUUAACUGAGGGCACAUUCUUCCGUGAUCAUAGCGCAAGAAUACAGAAACUGCAAUAAUGAUACAUUUUAGCCAGUAAUGUCAGCUGCUUAUGCGCAUGUUGGCAGUUUUAGUAGGGUGUUUUCAUUGUUUUGUAGAGGUGAUAGAAGCAUGCGAUGAUCGUUUUCAAUCUCAGCAUAAUGUGAAUUUCCUCUCCUAAACUUGACUUGCAAUAUUAGCAAAUGUAAUGUGUAUCGUGGAAGUGAACUCUCCCCUCAUCCUGGUUUGGUAACCGAUAUAGUUGAAACAACUCCAAGUUCUUGGUCUCUUGAACCAUGACACCGUUAUACCAUGUACUUAGUGAUUCUGCUGCAAUAGAGGAACUACAGAAGCAUUCGCCAUCAACAUUGCAACGACCCUUGCGGGAUUUAGUUGCAAGUUUUGCAAAAUUGAGAAUCAGAGACGAAACAAUAUGACGUUGGAAAAAUUGGUUAGGAAUCGCCUUCGACAUCCCAGGGGCGUCGCUUUCAAGGCAUGAGGUUCAAAGUUGAAACUGUGACGUCCUGCGCCUGCAAACAAACCGAUAAAUGAGAGGAGGACUUGCAGGUUUAGAUGAGGAUGGGACGUUGAUCCAAGGUUGCUGUGUGACACCGAUCUCCACAUGGACCGACACAUUUCUAGUAACAGCACUACUGCAAUAACUAUCGACAGCUUUAAGUACAUUCAUGGCUGCUUUCACCCCGUGAUCAAAAUCCAGCGGUUACGUAGCUGGUUAAAGAUGUGAGAAAAUUUAACCCCAGCUGCGGUGAGUGGCCUUGUUCAGCUUUUCUCUGGCUUGCACCCCACAUAUGUCAUGCGCACCGCCCAAAAGAGUGUCUCGAUCGACGGGAUUUGGCGCAGUAAAGAUGAUAGGGUUGUGCUCGUGUGUUGCAUCAGACCCGUUUCUGGCUCUCGAGGACUGGACACGGAUAUGUGAAAUCUGCAGCUCAGGUGCUGUUGCUCAAUUCAGCUGGCGAUAGUUUUGUGCACAUUUUCUUUUGGGUGAAUUGAAUUGAGGAAAUGGGAAUCUAAUAUGAUCGUCCUCACUGCGGAUCUCGUCAUGAUCUGCAUGAGUGGAUUCGGGGGGGGGGGGGGGGGGGGAUGUCGACGUUGAAAUUUUACUGUGAGGAGUUGUGUGAAUAUCAUCAACUAAAGAAGUGUAAUACUGGAGAAAGUGGGCAUGCGGCGUUUCAAGAGAUUGAGAGCAAGAUAACGAUAACUACGCUUAGGAUUCAUCAAAAGUAAGGACCAAAACAAUCGGGAGCCGUGCCUCGUGAACCUCAAAUUCCCGAGAUCCGUGAAGAUGGCAUAGUGAACCGGUGCUGACAGGGACAAAGAGAAUGACCAGGGUUUGAUUGUAUCCCAAGGGUAAUAAGGUGAUGGAGACCUUGAUGAUUGGGCAGCGUCGCAGACCAAAGAAGACUCCCAAACCGAUGGGACGAGUGAUACAAACGACUUCCGGUUUGCACCCAACAGUUCUCUGGCUGAUGAGGCUCAAAAGUGGGCAUCUGACACCACUGUCUCUCGGGACGAAACACAGCCACAUGUGCAGCCUCGUCAGAAGCAGACAGCAACUGUACAGACUAAACAAACAUGUCAGUGACCAAAGCCCGAGCCAAUGAGCUCCAACGGCGUCUUUAUUGCAAUACCACUGAGUUCCAACUUCAUUGCAAUACCAAAGACGCUGUCAACCCACAGGUCGACUCAACCAGUGAAGUACUUCCUGAGGCAUUGCAAGCCAGGCUGGUCCAUGAACAAAGCCCCGGGUGAGAGCUGAGGAGCGUUGCAAGCCCGAGGGCGGGAGCUACGGACAGGAUGUGGAGGUUGCAGUCGCUGCUCACAGGCAAGUGAUGGUUGAACUGGACUUCACAGCACUCCACUUCAGUGCAGGGACUCGGAGUCAUCACUUUUGCCGAUUCAUGAUGUGGGGGUCAUCACAUUCGCGCACAGAUGGCUCUGGUGCUGGAAUCCAUCUCAGUUUCCUGCACCGACUAGGUCUGUGGUGCGGGACAAAUGGCAGCACUGAGGUGAGGUGAGGUAAAUUGAGGUGGGCAGGCAUUGGUUUGGAGUUGUGUCACUGCUUGAUAUGUUGCGUGCUUGACCCUUGUCGCUCUUUUUGUGAAACGUGAUUUCAUGUCCAGAAUGGUUGUGGUGACGGAGUCUAGAUUCGUGUGCCGCGGACACCGUGGCGUUGUUGUCUUUUGCUGCAGCAUUUCCUGUGCAAAGCGACAGCCAGUGUGAGUGCAUUGCGAAGCGCGAGAUGACGUGAGAUGAAGACGAGAACAUGCGAGCCGAGUGUGUGGCGGCGCUGUAACCACACCUUGAAUGUGCAGAUGCGAGACUCUGAGGUGGAGUUUGUGAGCAUGUGUGUCAAAGGUGGGGUUGCAAUGGCAGUGAUGAGCUGUUCGGACUUGCUUGUCCAUGCCCAGUGUGCUGUGGUAUGUUUUUGUCCUGAGUGAAGCAGGCAAGCGUGUGUGAAGACGUGAUGUCAUGUUGGGCAGAAGGAGGAAGGAUUUUAGUUCCACGACGUGAGUGUCGUGGCUAAUGAGAAUGUUGGAGAGGCAGAGCAACCUAGGUAUCCAGCCGGUUCAGCGAAUGCACCCGUUUCACGGAUGUAAGCGUCGAUGUGAGUGGUGGCGUGAAGAACAGUUGACCCACAGGGAUUGGAGAUGGAUGUUUGGGCGAGUAUGUUGUAUUGUCCUGGAGGACGGUCUAAUGUUUCUUCGGAGACAUCUGAUAAAAUUGGAACGAUACAGAGAAGAUUAGUAUGGCCCCUGCGCAAGGAUGACACGCACAAUUCGAGUAAUGGUCCUAAUUUUUUUUUUUCCUUUUCUCUGACCUUUCGCUGUUUCUUUCUUUCAUCGCUUGCCACUUCAGCCGCCUGGGUUUUCUUCUGAUAACGGCUGCUGUUCACAAACGUUGUUCUCCACUCCAGCACUUAUGUGAGGGUAGUUCAAUGUUCGUUGAACACCAACAGAUCUAACACCGACCUCUUCCAAUUGUACAAUGUUGUCCAAGCCAUGAGUUAGUUUCUCCUCGUUAAUACAUGCUUAUCAACAUUGCUUUGCAUUUUUUACAAUGUUGCCCAUUUGUGCACAUCUUUGCCCACAUUGUUCUUUUGUGUAUAAAUGUUUGAGUCAAUGCAUCCACAAGCUAUUUAUGUCACAUUUGAAGAAAGAAGUUUCAUGACUUAAUGUGGUAGAAGUUCAUACAAACACAAAG
rnacentral:lncRNA from 1 species